UGGCCAAGUCAGGAUUGCAUUGCGCCAGGAUAUAUGACUUCCAAACGCAGUCAAGAUUUCUCAAGCGUCGCCAAGAUUGCCCUGGCCAAGAUGCAUGUUCGAAUGAUUCAAACAAAAAAAAACGCUGUCAAGAUUUCCCAAGCGUCGCCAAGAUUUAUUGCCCAAGAUUUUCGGUGAUGAAGAUUUAUUAGGCCAAGAUUUUCAAGGACUUAGAUUACAUCCUUCUAUCUGCACAUGCUGCAUGCCGCUGCACUGAAGACUCAGAAGUUAUUGUGAUAACAAGUAAUGUUUUGUGUGGAUUGUGGAGAGAGGUUGCUUCCCACAAAUAAAUUUUGUGGAAACUGUGGAGCUGCUGUCUGCAAAAGAAAUGAUGUCAAGGAUAAACCUAGCUCCACAGGCAUGCUGAGUCCUUGGGCCAAGGGCAAG